UACGGAGGGGGCUAGCGUUGUUCGGAAAUACUGGGCGUAAAGCGCACGUAGGCGGCUCAGCAAGUCAGGGGUGAAAUCCCGGGGCUCAACCCCGGAACUGCCCUUGAAACUGCUAGGCUAGAAUCUUGGAGAGGUCAGUGGAAUUCCGAGUGUGGAGGUGAAAUUCGUAGAUAUUCGGAAGAACACCAGUGGCGAAGGCGACUGACUGGACAAGUAUUGACGCUGAGGUGAGAAAGCGUGGGGAGCACAGG
rnacentral:rRNA from 1 species